UACGAAGGGUGCAAGCGUUAAUCGGAAUUACUGGGCGUAAAGGGUGCGUAGGCGGUUAUUUAAGUCUGCCGUGAAAUCCCCGGGCUCAACCUGGGAAUGGCGGUGGAUACUGGAUAGCUAGAGUGUGUCAGAGGAUGGUGGAAUUCCCGGUGUAGCGGUGAAAUGCGUAGAGAUCGGGAGGAACAUCAGUGGCGAAGGCGGCCAGUCUGGGACAACACGUGCGCUGAAGCACGAAGCGUGGG
rnacentral:rRNA from 1 species